rnacentral:lncRNA from 10 species
GCGGGCCGGUCAGCAGAGAUCCACACUCCAGGGGACAGGCUCUGAGACCAGCUUCAUGGCCUCUGCUCCGCCCUCUCCCGCUCCCACGCUCCUAAGGCAAUUCCGAGCUGGUGCCUGAGGAUGCUGAGGGGAGAGACAACUGUGGGGCUCUUUCUUUUGGGAAAGGGAAGCUCAGGGUGUUCUGCUUCCCUCCGCUAGGAAGCUGGACCCACAGCUGUGAAGAUGCAUAGCCAGCAAUCCCAGGGGGAGAGGUGAGCCCCCAAAUCCUCUCCUCAUCGGUAGAUUCUCCGAGAUCCCUGGUGUGCAGAUGAGAACUCAUCACAGAAAUAUGUGUAUCUGUACAGAGAACUCGCUCAACUUCAGAAGCCAAACAGCAUCUGGUUACAAGAGAUUACUCAGAAAUAUCCACCAGGAAUGUGCACUAUACGUGGAAAUACAAACACAAACCGGAGCUGAGAAGGGCCUGGGUCCCCUGACAUCAAGGUUUUUAUAAAGAAAAAUACACAAAGGCAGCCACGCCUCACUCUGGCUUCCUAGUAACCCCAGAAAAAAAUUCCAGAAAUGUGUUUUAAUUCUUUAGCCUGAGUGACAAAAAGGUUAAAAUGUUUCCCAAAGUCCACUUAAGAAUAAUUCCGACCUUGGGAAAAUGGAUUUUGUUAGCCCCAAAGCUUAUUAAGAUUAAUGGCAAGAGGGGCUCGUUAUUCUGCCAGAAAAAUCUACUUACAAAUCUAAGAGGGGGAUUUUAUUCUGUCCAUUUCUAAAAGCAGGGGACUUAGAGUGCCUGACAAGUACCCCCUAGGAAGAGGGUGUGCCAUAUACAGACAGCAGGGGUGCAUGACUGGGAUGCUCACUUGGAGAGGUAUUGGCUAGGCCAGGAAAAAGGGUUCCUUUAUGGGACUUCCUAUAUAGAGAGGUCACCCUGCUCUCACUUCUGAAACCUACCACCCUGGCCACACAACUAGGUUUUAUGGAGCCCAGAAAGAUAUUCAGAAACUGGAGCCUUAUUCAGCGUGUAAAAAGCUCUCAUGCCUGUUGGCCUUGUUGCUGCUCCACAACAGGGGACUGUGGCUUAUUCAAGUGCUCAGCCAUCACAAUGACCCCACCACCUCUUUCACGACAACCCCACCACCUCUUGGCCCUGCAGCCCCAGCUUCAGACACUGCUGACCAACUGACUCUUCCCAUGCCUUGAAUGGAAACUCACAGGCAGGAUCCCGGCAAUUUGCUUAUGCACCACGAAGUGCCAGGUAUCUCUGUGGGGCGGCACCCGUGGGCUGGCUGCUUUUCAGGUGCAAGAUGGAUGGCAGAAUUUUGGCAAAGUGCUCAGCCCUGGCUAUCUUGGCAAGGCAGAGCACAGAAGCCUGUUGCUGAGAGACCGGAAUUCCCAGACUCAGAGAUGACUAGACAAGGACUCUGGCUUUGAUUAUCAGCUCAUGGAAUUGGUGGAAGGCAAAUAGACAGGAAGCCUUCAGGUUUUUAAGGAAUUUGGUUCAGUCCAAGAAACCCAAGCCUGGCUGACAACAGCCUGUGAUUCUUCAAUCCCUGAGGUAAUUUCCAGGCCCCUCAAAUUUGCACCAAAAAGUAAUGGGCUUCAAAGAAGUACAGAUCCCAAAAAGGGCAUAUGUGCCAAUAUCUAUCUCAGAUGGGCUAAGAGGACAACGGACAAGGGAGACGUUUCCAGACAGCACAUCUAGGAUUUGUCAGAUUGGCUAACCAAGGAACUCACUGCAUUACCAAGGCAAGAACACUUCACUGUUCCUGUCAAGCAGGGAAAAAUACAUACAGUGAAUCAGAGACCACUGUGUACUGUUUUC